rnacentral:rRNA from 1 species
GACGAACGCUGGCGGCGUGCCUAAUACAUGCAAGUUGAGCGAUGAAGCUUGGUGCUUGCACCAAUUUGAAGAGCAGCGAACGGGUGAGUAACGCGUGGGGAAUCUGCCUUUGAGCGGGGGACAACAUUUGGAAACGAAUGCUAAUACCGCAUAAUAACUUUAAACAUAAGUUUUAAGUUUGAAAGAUGCAAUUGCAUCACUCAAAGAUGAUCCCGCGUUGUAUUAGCUAGUUGGUGAGGUAAAGGCUCACCAAGGCGAUGAUACAUAGCCGACCUGAGAGGGUGAUCGGCCACAUUGGGACUGAGACACGGCCCAAACUCCUACGGGAGGCGGCAAUAGGGAAUCUUCGGCAAUGGACGAAAGUCUGACCGAGCAACGCCGCGUGAGUGAAGAAGGUUUUCGGAUCGUAAAACUCUGUUGGUAGAGAAGAACGUUGGUGAGAGUGGAAAGCUCAUCAAGUGACGGUAACUACCCAGAAAGGGACGGCUAACUACGUG